rnacentral:rRNA from 1 species
UACGUAGGGGGCAAGCGUUGUCCGGAUUUAUUGGGCGUAAAGAGCGUGUAGGCGGCCUGAAAGGUCAGCUGUGAAAACCUCGAGGCUCAACCUCGAGACGUCGGUUGAAACCAUCUGGCUAGAGUCCGGAAGAGGAGAGUGGAAUUCCCGGUGUAGCGGUGAAAUGCGCAGAUAUCGGGGAAGAACACCCGUGGCGAAGGCGGCUCUCUGGGACGGUACUGACGCUGAGACGGCGAAAAGCGUUGGGGGAGACCGAACAGG